CUGUACUCUCCAUGCUCAAGGUGGCUGCAUGUCUGCUUUCGGUAGGGCUGCUCCUCCCUGUGGCUGAACCCAGCUUCUGAUCCUUCUCUUCCUGGCUUGCUCUGCCUCAAGCCAGUCCACAAAUCUUCAGCGUCCCUUGCCCUGCAUGGAAAUCUAGGCGAUGAGCAUGAGAGUGUGAAUGCGCCGCACAGCAGAAGCUUCUGUUUUGUACCCUCUGUAUCACUUGCUCUGGAGGAAGUCAGAUGCCAUGUGAUAAGAACACACAAUCAGCCUCAAUGGAAAGCCCAUGAGCAGAGGAAGAAACUAUAGGAUGCGUUAGGAGGACGUGAAGAUCACUGACAGGUUCCCAUGGUGAUACUGUUUUGCUGUGCUUGGGCUGACCACUCCUGAGUU